rnacentral:tRNA from 1 species
UAUAAAUUAGUAUAAGAUGUACAUGAAUUUUUGAUUUUCACGGAAAUAGUUUAAUUCUAUUAUUUGUAA